CUAACAUCUUGUAGAUGCCAGAGCAGGAGCAGCGCAGAGUGGAACCUAACAUGAAACACUCAUCAGUGGAGGACAGGCAAGAGGCUCAGGUCUGGAGAAGCGGAGCAGAAUGAAGAAUCCUAUUGAUUGCUGAAUCCCGAUUUUACAGCAGGGCGCCUGUGUCCUGGUGUCUCCUCUUGCGUUAGUACGUAUGGAUGUGGCAUCCUGUAGAAGCUGCACCAUCAUUGCAACCUAAAGGACUGCAGAGCAGUAACUCCGAGCAGACAGAGCGCAGAGAGACGUCUCGCUCCGGGAGAAAAUACCCAAGACAGAUCCGGCAAAGUUUACUGUUUUUCCCCCUGAAAGGAGAAUGGACCUGGUCUUGAUUAGCAUCGACAUCAGAGCUACUUUCAGGAGAAGCAGCUACACAGCUGCUGAACCACAGGUCCACUACAGUCCUACAUCUUCCAAUACGUCUCGUCGUCAAAGACUGACCACUGACCACUUCACCACUUUAAGUCAUGAGGUAAAACGUACCCAGUUCUUUCCUACCGUAAAAUCAGCUGCUAUUCCACACUGAAGAUGUGGCCUAGAAAAAUAGAGAUGGCAUGGCAGUACGUUACUUACUAGAGGAAGUGAGUGCAUAUAUCUGAUGCAGUGCCGCUCUCACAAAAAAAGAUCGGUGGCACCUUGUCACGGGACAGCAGGGAGGCACUGAAGAGGAGGUUAACAGGUUUUAAUAAUAUGAAGCGAAAAAACAAACAAAAAAAAGAGAAUCAAAUUAUGAAGCAAUUAUUCAAUUAUUCCGAGUUAUGGGUUUGGUUUAAUGAGAAGCACUUGUGUCAGUCGUGAAAUGUCUGUAAAUAUAUAUUUAUAUGUAUAUAUAUAUAGAUAUUUAUAUUAUAAAUCGAAUACAUAUCUAGUUGCUAUGCACACUCAGAAAUGACACUGUCAUCAUGGGUAAGAUAAUCCUAAAAACACAAAUAUACUCUUUCCCCUUCCCCCAACCAUGAUUUAAGACUUUUUGACAGAAACAUUAAAAAUAUUCUUGUUUUUUUUUGUUGUACCCCUUUCGAAAUUAAAGGUAGGACAUUAUGCAAAUAACUCACUCUACAUCUCUCAUUAGUGGAAUGAAAUGUGACUAAGUAUGUCUUUCCAAGCAAAUUCUUUUGUUACAAAAAUAUACUUCUUUCUUUUAAAAUAAUAUACAGAUUUUUUUUUCUUAUGAUGAAAGUUUUCACUAUCAAGCUAAACAGCAAAGCUGUUUUUUUUUCUUUUUAAUAGAAAGUAUCUAUUUCAUGAGAGAGAGAGCAAGACAUAGACCCUGUUCACACCUAGUCAUUUUAUGGUUCUUGAGAUGUAAUAGGAUUGGAUCUGAAUAAGGUUAAACCACAUUAAAAUGCACCCAAAGUGUGAACGCACCCAAGACGCAUUUGCUGUAUUUUUUGCGUUAUAAGGCGCACUUAAAAUCGUAAACUCCGCAGAAGUACAGCUUUAUAAAGGAGUUUUAGUGAAGUUUCUCCAGCACCAAGGCUGGAGCAGUAUUAGCAUUAGCCACUAAACGCAGUGCUAGGUGAGUAUAUCAGAUUGUUGUCUGUGUGUUUACCAUGUUAAAACAAGCUACGUGGGGCGAAACGCUAGCUGAUCGCACCCUGGGUCACAGGAACACUCAGGGUUCCUCUGUCAGGGAGCAUUUACUAGCACUAAGUGCUGAUGCUAACCGCGGCUAGCGCUGCUGCUAACAGCACUGUUGAAAAUAUUGGAAAUCUAAGCUUACUGUAAAUAAAGGAAGCGCUUUACUCA
rnacentral:lncRNA from 1 species